AUGAUUUUUGAAAAUAUAUAGUUGUAGAAAUAAAUUAUUAACAUAUGUUAAUAACUUCAUUUGUAUAAAAAAAAUCUGACAUGAUUAACAAAUUUGAACCUAUUUUAGUGGUAGAUGAUAAUUUAUUUAAAUGAAAGCAUUAUAUUACUUAAUUACAAAAUUAAUUAAUACAAUAUUUAAUAAAAAUUAUUUAAAAAUUUAGUAGGAUUUUGUUAGAUUUUUCUAACAGAUUUUGCUAUAACUAAAGAUAAAAUUCAAAUCUAUAGUUAAAAUUAAUUUAUUAUUAAUAUUCCUAUUAAUUAUUAUGUCAUAUUAUGUAAUUAAUGAAAUGGUCUUAGUAGACUUAUAAAUAGUAGAUAAAAAUGAUACUUCUCUUUUAAUAGAGAAGAUAUGCCUUAAAGACCCACGAUAAUAUAAAAUCGGCGUCGUUUCACUCUGAACAAGCCCUAGUUUUUUAACACAAUCUCACAACCCACAAGUCUUUCUCUUAGUCUCUUCCUCAGCCGGCGACAUCCUCAAGCAAUCCAGACGACGAGUUGUGGACGGAAAGUUAUUGACAACAAGUUGUGGACAACAAGCUAAAGAUGACGAUGAAUUAUUGAUCGACUUGUGAACGACGAGUAAUUUGUGUACGUCUGAAUCAAAAAAAUGCAAAUAAUAUUGUAUGAUGGUUUACUACCACUAUUACAAAUUUGAAAUUUUUAAAAAAUUAAUAUGAUAACCAUUAUAUAUGUACAUAAUACACUUAACACCAUGUGGACGGUAAUUUCUAUGAGAGUGAUUUGUUAUGAAAAUAAAUUAUGAAUAUAUAUAUAUAUAUUUCAUGAACACAUAUGGUUUAGUCUUAAAUUAUGGACAUAAUAAUUGUGUACGUAGAAAUAUGGACAAGAUUACAAUAUAUGAGAUUAAAAUGGUUCAGCUAAACAUGUGAAAAAGAUCUACGCUUUAUAAAAGAUUACUCGGGCUUUCCUUCUACAAUUGAAGAGGCGAAGACAGCUACCACAACGAUCUUGAGCAUGGCCACAACACAUGAGACGAUGUGGAUGGUGUUCAUGUCUACAUCUAAUCUAUAAUUAUAUUAUCCAUGUUUUGGUAUCCACGUCGAUAUUUAAUUUUGUCUACACAUUAAUAUAUAUAUAAUAUAUAUGAAAAUAGAUUUUAAAAGAUAGAGAAUUUUAUAUAUAAUUUAUUAUGAUAAUUAUUUUUGUUUAAUAGAGUUUAUAAUUUGAGAUAAAAAUAAAUAAAAACAUAAGGUGUGAUAAGGAAAACAAUAAAGUAAAAUAAAAAGAAGAGAGAGAUUUGUGUGAUGGAAAGAAAGUGAAAUGUUUCAUUUUCUUUAGUUUAAGGUCAUAAGAGUCAUUUUUACAAGGGAAAAUAUGUCUCAACUCUCAAAUGAUAAGUGUCUUGUAGUCUAAUUGAUACUAGAUUUUGACCCGCGCUUUAAAAGCGCGGGGUUAUUUUUUCUAAAUAAUUUCAUACGAAAGCAAUAUAAAGGUUGAUCGAGUAUAGCAUUAUGUGUGUUUAAAAUACUUAUAAUACAAUCAUAUAUUUAAUCGUGUAAAUUUUGUAUGUUCGUAAAAUAAAUAUGAAUUUUAAAGAUGGUAUUUCUAAAAUGUGGGAUUUUAUACUCAUAAUAAACUACUUUGGAAAUAUUUUAAUAGUUUUUAGUUCUAUAAAUUAAAGCUUUAUAUUUUUUUUUAAAACUAUAUGAUUCACAAUUAUAUUAGUUAGGGCUAUGGAAAAAAUCGGAAUCGGAAAAAUUGACUCGAAUCUGAUCCGAUCAGAAAAAGUAGUACCAAAACAGUACUAAAAUUGGUUAAAUAUCCGAACAUGUUCAAAACUUUGGUAUCUAGAGAAUCGGAACUAAAUCCGUUUCAACUUGAAAUAUUUUGGAUAUCUGAAUAUAUCUGAAUCAGAUUUAUAUACUUAAAUAUAUUAAUUAUCCUAAAAAUUAAUAUAUAAAAAUAUUUAGUAUAUAAGAUAUUUUGAAGUUGCCUAAAAUAACUGAAAAUAUAUAUAUUAAAAAUAAUUAUAAAAAUAGCUAAUCAAUAAUCAAAACACCAAUUAUACUUAAAAUAUAAAUUAAUUCUAUUCAAAUAUUCAAGCCAAACCAAUUUAUAUAUUAGGUUUAUGUAUUUUGGCAUACAUUAUUUUAAUUUAUAUUUAAUAUAUUAUUUUAUUUUUAUAUUUUGAGAAAUUUAAAGUAUAUAUGAAUUUAAUUUUUUUAAAAAUAAUUUAUCCGGACUAUCCAAACCCAAACCGAAUCCGCAAUGAUCCGAACCAAAAUUUAUAAAUACAUGAAUGGGGCUGAUAUGUUUAACUUAGAAUAUCCAAAACCCGAAUAGACAUGAACCAAACGCAAAUGAAUACCCGAAUGUCCACCCGUAUUAUCAGUCUUUUUUUCAAAAAAUAAUUUUUUUCUUAGAACAUUAUUAUUAAUUAACUAAUAUAUACUAACAUCUUUCUACAUUUUAUACUAAUUAAACUUUUGAUUCAAUGAGGUUAAAUUGAUUAUAAUGUGUUUUAUAAUUUGGGUUUGGAUAAAAUAAGAAUGUUAUUAGUAAUGGGCAGUGAAAUGUUCUCUAAUAAUUUUGUUUUCCUACUUGACCCAUCAACAUUUGGUUAAAAUUUGUCAAAUAUUGAUUAACAAUAUAAUCAAUCGAUGGACCAGGAAUAUUUAUAAAGUAAGUCAAUUAGUUUAGGAUGUACACAAUUUUGUAGAUUUGUCAAUUAAUUUUGGGCCCCUAGAUCUUUUGAAAUAUUCCCAAAAUGCUUAAAAGAUAUAUUAAUCGAAUAUGCUGAAAGUUAAUGUUCCGGAUUUUCUAUGUAAAUCACAUAUGCUGAAGUUACUGCAUUUUCCAUAACCACAGGUUAGAUUUUUAGGCAACUUCCGAAAUUGGUGGGUUUAAUUUAUGAGAUGAUUAUUGUAAACAUGGUUUCUACAUGUAUUAUCUAUUAUCGUAUUAAGAAGAUGGUAAUUAUCUGUUACACAUAUCCCAAAAAAAUCGAUUACAUUCGAUAUAUUUAAAUAAUUAUAUGAAAUAUAAUUUUUAUUUGAGAAGAAACUAACUCAUACUGAAGCAAUUAAGAAAUCUGUUGAAACCUUGAAAAGUUUACCGUAUUCAUAACAAAAAAGAAUUUGUAAGAAAAAAAGAGUUUGUAAUUGACUUACUAACCACAACGACGGAGAAGAAAAUGGGCGUUUCUAUUUUUUUUCUCGCUAUAACCUUGAAUACAUUUAGACCAAGACCUGUGUAUCUAUAGUUUUUAAAAACACAAGAGAACCAAAAUAAAUACAAAGACAUUACACCAGAAUGAAACCUCAAAUCAGAAUAAAAAUAAGACUUUGCACUUACUUUGGACCGUCUGACUUGGAAAAGAAACGUUUAACCUUUUAAAAUCCAUAUGUAUACCCUGUCCUGAGCCUUGUCUACUGGAUAUGCAAUAUGCACUGAUGACAAUGUGGAGAGUUGAUAAGAGUUUCUGCAAUAAAUCAUAAACACACAGCAGACA